rnacentral:rRNA from 1 species
GACAGAGGGUGCAAACGUUGUUCGGAAUUACUGGGCGUAAAGCGCGUGUAGGUGGCAAGGCAAGUCGGGUGUGAAAGCCCUGGGCUCAACCCAGGAAGUGCACUCGAUACUGCCUCGCUAGAGUCCCGGAGAGGUUGGUGGAACUCUCGGUGUAGAGGUGAAAUUCGUAGAUAUCGAGAAGAACACCGGUGGCGAAGGCGGCCAACUGGACGGUGACUGACGCUGAGGCGCGAAAGCGUGGGGAGCAAACAGG